UACGUAGGGCGCAAGCGUUGUCCGGAAUUAUUGGGCGUAAAGGGCUCGUAGGCGGCCAACUAAGUCGGAUGUGAAAUCCCCAAGCUUAACUUGGGAACUGCAUCCGAUACUGGAUGGCUUGAAUCCGGGAGAGGGAUGCAGAAUUCCAGGUGUAGCGGUGAAAUGCGUAGAUAUCUGGAGGAAUACCGGUGGCGAAGGCGGCAUCCUGGACCGGCAUUGACGCUGAGGAGCGAAAGCUAGGGGAGCAAACGGG
rnacentral:rRNA from 1 species